rnacentral:rRNA from 1 species
UGUAUAAUGGGUCAGCGACUUAUAUUCUGUAGCAAGGUUAACCGAAUAGGGGAGCCGAAGGGAAACCGAGUCUUAACUGGGCGUUAAGUUGCAGGGUAUAGACCCGAAACCCGGUGAUCUAGCCAUGGGCAGGUUGAAGGUUGGGUAACACUAACUGGAGGACCGAACCGACUAAUGUUGAAAAAUUAGCGGAUGACUUGUGGCUGGGGGUGAAAGGCCAAUCAAACCGGGAGAUAGCUGGUUCUCCCCGAAAGCUAUUUAGGUAGCGCCUCGUGAAUUCAUCUCCGGGGGUAGAGCACUGUUUCGGCAAGGGGGUCAUCCCGACUUACCAACCCGAUGCAAACUGCGAAUACCGGAGAAUGUUAUCACGGGAGACACACGGCGGGUGCUAACGUCCGUCGUGAAGAGGGAAACAACCCAGACCGCCAGCUAAGGUCCCAAAGUCAUGGUUAAGUGGGAAACGAUGUGGGAAGGCCCAGACAGCCAGGAUGUUGGCUUAGAAGCAGCCAUCAUUUAAAGAAAGCGUAAUAGCUCACUGGUCGAGUCGGCCUGCGCGGAAGAUGUAACGGGGCUAAACCAUGCACCGAAGCUGCGGCAGCGACACUAUGUGUUGUUGGGUAGGGGAGCGUUCUGUAAGCCUGUGAAGGUGUACUGUGAGGUAUGCUGGAGGUAUCAGAAGUGCGAAUGCUGACAUAAGUAACGAUAAAGCGGGUGAAAAGCCCGCUCGCCGGAAGACCAAGGGUUCCUGUCCAACGUUAAUCGGGGCAGGGUGAGUCGACCCCUAAGGCGAGGCCGAAAGGCGUAGUCGAUGGGAAACAGGUUAAUAUUCCUGUACUUGGUGUUACUGCGAAGGGGGGACGGAGAAGGCUAUGUUGGCCGGGCGACGGUUGUCCCGGUUUAAGCGUGUAGGCUGGUUUUCCAGGCAAAUCCGGAAAAUCAAGGCUGAGGCGUGAUGACGAGGCACUACGGUGCUGAAGCGACAAAUGCCCUGCUUCCAGGAAAAGCCUCUAAGCAUCAGGUAACAUCAAAUCGUACCCCAAACCGACACAGGUGGUCAGGUAGAGAAUACCAAGGCGCUUGAGAGAACUCGGGUGAAGGAACUAGGCAAAAUGGUGCCGUAACUUCGGGAGAAGGCACGCUGAUAUGUAGGUGAAGCGACUUGCUCGUGGAGCUGAAAUCAGUCGAAGAUACCAGCUGGCUGCAACUGUUUAUUAAAAACACAGCACUGUGCAAACACGAAAGUGGACGUAUACGGUGUGACGCCUGCCCGGUGCCGGAAGGUUAAUUGAUGGGGUUAGCGGUAACGCGAAGCUCUUGAUCGAAGCCCCGGUAAACGGCGGCCGUAACUAUAACGGUCCUAAGGUAGCGAAAUUCCUUGUCGGGUAAGUUCCGACCUGCACGAAUGGCGUAAUGAUGGCCAGGCUGUCUCCACCCGAGACUCAGUGAAAUUGAACUCGCUGUGAAGAUGCAGUGUACCCGCGGCAAGACGGAAAGACCCCGUGAACCUUUACUAUAGCUUGACACUGAACAUUGAGCCUUGAUGUGUAGGAUAGGUGGGAGGCUUUGAAGUGUGGACGCCAGUCUGCAUGGAGCCGACCUUGAAAUACCACCCUUUAAUGUUUGAUGUUCUAACGUGGGCCCCUUACCGGGGUUGCGGACAGUGUCUGGUGGGUAGUUUGACUGGGGCGGUCUCCUCCUAAAGAGUAACGGAGGAGCACGAAGGUUGGCUAAUCCUGGUCGGACAUCAGGAGGUUAGUGCAAUGGCAUAAGCCAGCUUGACUGCGAGCGUGACGGCGCGAGCAGGUGCGAAAGCAGGUCAUAGUGAUCCGGUGGUUCUGAAUGGAAGGGCCAUCGCUCAACGGAUAAAAGGUACUCCGGGGAUAACAGGCUGAUACCGCCCAAGAGUUCAUAUCGACGGCGGUGUUUGGCACCUCGAUGUCGGCUCAUCACAUCCUGGGGCUGAAGUAGGUCCCAAGGGUAUGGCUGUUCGCCAUUUAAAGUGGUACGCGAGCUGGGUUUAGAACGUCGUGAGACAGUUCGGUCCCUAUCUGCCGUGGGCGCUGGAGAACUGAGGGGGGCUGCUCCUAGUACGAGAGGACCGGAGUGGACGCAUCACUGGUGUUCGGGUUGUCAUGCCAAUGGCACUGCCCGGUAGCUAAAUGCGGAAGAGAUAAGUGCUGAAAGCAUCUAAGCACGAAACUUGCCCCGAGAUGAGUUCUCCCUGACUCCUUGAGAGUCCUGAAGGAACGUUGAAGACGACGACGUUGAUAGGCCGGGUGUGUAAGCGCAGCGAUGCGUUGAGCUAACCGGUACUAAUGAACCGUGAGGCUUAACCUU